rnacentral:rRNA from 1 species
AUUGAACGCUGGCGGCAUGCUUUACACAUGCAAGUCGAACGGUAACAGGGAGCUUGCUCCGCUGACGAGUGGCGAACGGGUGAGUAAUGCGUCGGAACGUGCCGAGUAGUGGGGGAUAACGCAUCGAAAGGUGUGCUAAUACCGCAUACGAACUGAGGUUGAAAGUGGGGGACCUUCGGGCCUCACGCUAUUCGAGCGGCCGACGUCUGAUUAGCUAGUUGGUGAGGGAAAGGCUCACCAAGGCGACGAUCAGUAGCGGGUCUGAGAGGAUGAUCCGCCACACUGGGACUGGGACACGGCCCAGACUCCUACGGGAGGCAGCAGUGGGGAAUUUUGGACAAUGGGCGCAAGCCUGAUCCAGCCAUGCCGCGUGUCUGAAGAAGGCCUUCGGGUUGUAAAGGACUUUUGUCCGGGAGCAAAUGCUGGUGGCUAACAUCCACCGGAGCUGAGAGUACCGGAAGAAUAAGCACCGGCUAACUACGUGCCAGCAGCCGCAGUAAGAC